rnacentral:rRNA from 1 species
UACGGAGGGUGCAAACGUUGCUCGGAAUCAUUGGGCGUAAAGCGCACGUAGGCGGCCUGUUAAGUCGGGUGUGAAAGCCCUGGGCUCAACCCAGGAAGUGCACUCGAAACUGGCGGGCUUGAAUAUGGAAGAGGGUCGCGGAAUUCCCGGUGUAGAGGUGAAAUGCGUAGAUAUCGUAAGGAAGACCAGUGGCGGAGGCGGGUCUCUGGACAGUUACUGACGCUGAGGCACGAAGGCCAGGGGAGCAAACGGG